rnacentral:rRNA from 1 species
UGGCGGAGGGUGAGUAAUGUCUGGGAAACUGCCUGAUGGAGGGGGAUAACUACUGGAAACGGUAGCUAAUACCGCAUAACGUCGCAAGACCAAAGAGGGGGACCUUCGGGCCUCUUGCCAUCGGAUGUGCCCAGAUGGGAUUAGCAGUAGGUGGGGUAACGGCUCACCUAGCGACGAUCCCUAGCUGGUCUGAGAGGAUGACCAGCCACACUGGAACUGAGACACGGUCCAG